UGCGGCUGGAUCACCUCCUUUCUAAGGAAGAUGUUGAGUAUCAUUGAA
rnacentral:misc_RNA from 1 species